UAAAAACCACCGCCUAGAGCGGCGGACAGUCACAAAUCAGUUAUCAAAUAAUUAACAAGUGCUCGAGUUAAUUAACAAGACUAGCCGUUAUCCUGAAAAAACAAUUGUGCCCACGCACACAACAAUACAGUAUAUAAUGUUUAAUCCAAGAAAUGUAGCAGUACUGCUAUACACUGCACUGUAUAUGACUGGGGAAUUCCCAGAAAGUCCUGUUACAACAGAUGAAAGUGAAAUAAAAGACACGAUGAAAAAUAUACUUCAA